AACGCACAUUGCGCCUUCUGGUAUUCCGGGAGGCAUGCCUGUCCGAACGUCAUCAAACCCCUCGCCAUGUGCUGUUGCUUGCAACGGUGCGAAGGCGGCUAAUGGGAGAUGGAGGCCUCGCGGCCGCCACCCCCGAAAUGCACUGGCAGACACCCUUUGGCCGAAUUGUGAUAAGCAUUAUUGACAGUUCCAAGCCGUCUGGUGGUCUCGCCGUCAACUGCAGCAGCGCUCUCCACGGAGCGGUUGCCCAAACCAAACAAUUUGACUUCGGAUCAGGUAGGGAUACCCGCUGAACUUAA
rnacentral:misc_RNA from 1 species